CAAUAGCGUAUAUUAAAGUUGUUGCAGUUAAAAAGCUCGUAGUUGGAUUUGUGGCGUACGACGGGCUCCGGGCACUUGUUGUCUGAGUAGCUUGUCGUUGCCAUCCUUGGGCGGAACCUGUGUGGCAUUAGGUUGUCGUGCAGGGGAUGCCCAUCUUUUACUGUGAAAAAAUUAGAGUGUUCAAAGCAGGCUUAUGCCGUUGAAUAUAUUAGCAUGGAAUAAUAAGAUAGGACUUUGUCGCUAUUUUGUUGGUUUGCGCGAUAAGGUAAUGAUUAAUAGGGACAGUUGGGGGUAUUCGUAUUCCAUUGUCAGAGGUGAAAUUCUUGGAUUUUUGGAAGACGAACUACUGCGAAAGCAUUUACCAAGGAUGUUUUCAUUAA
rnacentral:rRNA from 1 species